AGCUGAUCACUGGGUGUAAAGCGUGCGCAGGCGGUUUUGUAAGACAGAGGUGAAAUCCCCCGGGCUCAACUGGGAACUGCCUUUGUGACUGCAAGGCUGGAGUGCGGCAGAGGGGGAUGGAAUUCCGCGUGUAGCAGUGAAAUGCGUAGAUAUGCGGAGGAACACCGAUGGCGAAGGCAAUCCCCUGGGCCUGCACUGACGCUCAUGCACGAAAGCGUGGGGAGCAAACA
rnacentral:rRNA from 1 species